GCGCAGCAGGCGAGAAACCUUCGCAAUGCGGGAAACCGCGACGAGGGGACUCCCAGUGCCUACGCUCAGCGUAGGCUGUUCCCGAGCCUAGAAAGCUCGGGGAGUAAGGGCUGGGUAAGACGGGUGCCAGCCGCCGCGGUAAUACCCGCAGCCCGAGUGGUGGCCACUAUUAUUGGGCCUAAAGCGUCCGUAGCCGGCCCGGUAAAUGCCUGGGUAAAUCGUGAGGCCUAACCUCACGAAUUCCGGGUAGACUGCCGGGCUAGGGACCGGAGGAGGGAGAGGGGUACUCCAGGGGUAGGGGUGAAAUCCUGUAAUCCCUGGAGGACCACCGGUGGCGAAGGCGCUCUCCUAGGACGGGUCCGACGGUGAGGGACGAAAGCCAGGGGAGCGAACCGGAUUAGAUACCCGUGUAGU
rnacentral:rRNA from 1 species